rnacentral:rRNA from 1 species
GGGGCGCAAGCCUGAUGCAGCCAUGCCGCGUGUGUGAAGAAGGCCUUCGGGUUGUAAAGCACUUUCAGUCGUGAGGAAGGUAGUGUAGUUAAUAGCUGCAUUAUUUGACGUUAGCGACAGAAGAAGCACCGGCUAACUCCGUGCCAGCAGCCGCGGUAAUACGGAGGGUGCGAGCGUUAAUCGGAAUUACUGGGCGUAAAGCGCAUGCAGGCGGCCUGUUAAGUCAGAUGUGAAAGCCCGGGGCUUAACCUCGGAAUUGCAUUUGAAACUGGCAGGCUAGAGUCUUGUAGAGGGGGUAGAAUUUCAGGUGUAGCGGUGAAAUGCGUAGAGAUCUGAAGGAAUACCAGUGGCGAAGGCGGCCCCCUGGACAAAGACUGACGCUCAGAUGCGAAAGCGUGGGGAGCAAACAGGAUUAGAUACCCUGGUAG